CAGUAUUGACUGCUUUGUAGUCUUACUCACACUCAACCACUGUGCAUUGUUUCGUGGCGUUCGCGUCACCACACUUUUACCACUGAUUAGAGUAACACAUACAUAAAAUACGCAUA
rnacentral:misc_RNA from 1 species